rnacentral:rRNA from 1 species
UACGUAGGGUGCGAGCGUUGUCCGGAAUUAUUGGGCGUAAAGAGCUCGUAGGCGGUUUGUCGCGUCUAUCGUGAAAACCUGCAGCUUAACUGUGGGCUUGCGGUGGAUACGGGCAGACUUGAGUUCGGUAGGGGAGACUGGAAUUCCUGGUGUAGCGGUGAAAUGCGCAGAUAUCAGGAGGAACACCGGUGGCGAAGGCGGGUCUCUGGGCCGAUACUGACGCUGAGAAGCGAAAGCAUGGGGAGCGAACAGG